UACGUAGGUGACAAGCGUUAUCCGGAAUUACUGGGCGUAAAGCGCUCGCAGGCGGCUGCGUAAGUCUGACGUGAAAUCUCUCGGCUUAACCGGGAGCGGUCGUUGGAAACUAUGCGGCUUGAGGCGAUGAGAGGGGUGUGGAAUUCCCGGUGUAGUGGUGGAAUGCGUAGAUAUCGGGAGGAACAUCAGUGGCGAAAGCGGCACCCUGGCAUUAGCCUGACGCUCAGGUGCGAAAGCGUGGGGAGCGAACGGG
rnacentral:rRNA from 1 species